rnacentral:lncRNA from 1 species
CAAACUGAGGCCCAGAGAGGUCAGGAGACUACAGCUUCAAAGUCUGCAGAAGAGAAAUGAAUGAGAACAAGAUGCAGCUCUGGCCCUAAGAGAGCCUGCAACUCGGGAGGAGAUGCAAAAUUCACACGGGGGACCACAUUGAAGAGUGUGAUGAGUGCUAACUGCUAGGUCUGUCUCCAGUGCUGGGGAAGUGCAAAAAGAGGAUCAAAGAUCUACUCCCCUGUUGUGCAUUCUGUACCCCUGGAGAGGGGCCCUGACUCCGUGCAGCCUGAGCAAGAGACUCUGGCACACAAACCUUUCCAAGUGCUGCAGGUUCUGGAGGGAUGAAAGGGGCUUUGAAUAUGUGAGCUCCAGUAAUUAUGUUUGCUUUAAUGGAGCAAUGCCUGCUUUUGUUGUGCUAUGGUGCAAAGGCCCAAUUAUUCAAACGCAGCCAUUAGUUCCCACACAGCAGAGAUGACGGCAGAUGUUAUAAAGAUACCAUCUCUUGGCCAUUUGCCCACCCAACCCAGCCGCGAGGACACUUCAAACGCAAAGGCAGCUCCUGCCAGCAGCAUACACCACAUGUCCUAAGACAUCACACAGCCCAGAGUUGACCUGAGACAUCUGGAGAGAAGAGGGACCAACUGGCUGCGAUCGCUGCUCCUGCUGUGGCUCCCAGGUAACUGAGGCAUAGCCAGGCUGGUUAGAAGGAAGUGACCUUGACUUCCUGGGGCCCUCUGUGUCCUGCUGGCUGUUUUCACCCAAGCAAGCAGCUCCAGGGCUGUGACACUGUGUCAGGGCAGAGACACUGUGUCAGGAACCCAGUUCACACAUACAGGGUUGAAAGGAAGUCAUUCAUUUCACUGGAGGACAAGAUGUACCCAGAAACCUGUCCAACUUCUUACCACCACCACUAGGAAAAAAAAAUAAAAAAGUGACUUGCUGAAUUUGUAGGUAUACUAUUGCUCAAACAUGAGGACUCAGAAGCAGGCACUGGCCUGUCUGCAUUUUUCCUAUCCCAGCCCUUCUAUGAGUAACUGUUAGGAAAACACAAAGGGCUUUAAAAAGUUCAAAGAAUUAAAAAAAAAUAAGUGGCUGCAUCAUUAUCAUCACCAAACUGCUCCAUAUAGACUUGUGUAAACUAAAACAAGAAAAAAAAAAUACGUUGAGAGGAAAGCAGGGGUUAUAUUUUCCUCUGCACCAAUCAUAGCAAUGAGAUUUCCUGGAAGUGCAGGAAAAUCUCUGGGUAACAUGCAAUCAGAAAUACUUAUCUUAAUCAAGAUUUCUGCCCCCUGGCCUUAAAUUGCAUUUCCCUCUGGCUUUUUCUCUCGUGUCUGCCAAAUGAUAGAAGGAAUGCCUCAUAAAAACUGCAGAAUGGAGAGUUCUCAGUUUUAAAAAAGGAAAGCAUGGAGGGACUGGGGUGUAGCUCAGUGAAAGGGUGCUCACCUCGCCUUCACGAGGCCCUGAGUUCCAUCCCAGUGGUGUGAAAAACAAAAAAACAUAACAGAGGAAAAAUGAAGAAGAAGAAAGAUCUGCUGUGAUAAUCAAGAAAGCCAUCUCUCUACCAUUCCCACCAGCAAAGUCUUUGUGUGAAUAAUGAUGUGCCCUGUCAUUCAUGAAGACUCGCACAGCAGCAAGUGGAAGGAGUCAAGGAAGAUGGCAGAGGUCCUGCAGGAAGUCCCUCCUCCACAGCUUACUGGCAGAUUCUGUCUGGUGGGACUGCACAGCUCAGUGCAUUACUUUUUCUUUUUUUUUUUUUCCCAUGUGGAGAUACACAAGCAAUCACAGGCAAGGAUGAAGUCCCCAUUCUUGCUUUUUAGCUCAGGAAGGAGAAGACGAACUUCAGAAAGACCUGCAGUAUUCAAGAGAGCUCUGAAAGUAUGUCAACUUAAAAAUUUAAAAGCACCUGCAGUAAAAAAAAGCACAAAAAGUUUAAAAAGUAAUCAAAAUAUUAAUGAGAAGGAGCAGUGAGCAUGCUCCAUAACUAACUUUCUAGCAACUAAAAAGAGAAUAAGGUGAACCCAGGCCCUUUGCUAAGAAUAGGAAGAAUUUCACAGGUCUGAAAAGAUGGAAAUAGCACUCUAAGUCCAUAUUUUAAAUCCAUAUUUUAAUCAAGAAAUCACUAAAUGCCAUCCUUAGAGGUAAGAUAAGGGGGAGACAGUAGAGACCUCCCAAAGUGA